rnacentral:rRNA from 1 species
CCUACGGGGGGCAGCAGUCGAGAAUCAUUCACAAUGGGGGAAACCCUGAUGGUGCGACGCCGCGUGGGGGACGAAGGUGCCAAGCAUUGUAAACUUCUUUUGUCAAGGGACAAAAUCAGGCUCGAGAGCCUGACCGAGGGUACUUGAAGAAAAAGCAUCGGCUAACUCCGUGCCAGCAGCCGCGGUAAUACGGAGGAUGCGAGCGUUAUCCGGAUUUAUUGGGUUUAAAGGGUGCGUAGGCGGACUGUUAAGUCAGCGGUAAAAGCCCGGGGCUCAACCCCGGCGAGCCGUUGAAACUGGCUGUCUUGAGAUGUCGAGAGGUAUGCGGAAUGCGCAGUGUAGCGGUGAAAUGCUUAGAUAUUGCGCAGAACUCCGAUUGCGAAGGCAGCAUACCGGCGGCGAUCUGACGCUGAGGCACGAAAGCGUGGGUAUCGAACAGGAUUAGAUACCCCAGUAGUC